rnacentral:rRNA from 1 species
CCUACGGGGGGCUGCAGUGGGGAAUAUUGGACAAUGGGGGCAACCCUGAUCCAGCCAUGCCGCGUGUGUGAAGAAGGCCCUCGGGUUGUAAAGCACUUUCAGUGAGGAAGAACGCCUGGUGGUUAAUACCCAUCAGGAAAGACAUCACUCACAGAAGAAGCACCGGCUAACUCCGUGCCAGCAGCCGCGGUAAUACGGAGGGUGCGAGCGUUAAUCGGAAUUACUGGGCGUAAAGCGCGCGUAGGUGGCUUGAUAAGCCGGUUGUGAAAGCCCCGGGCUCAACCUGGGAACGGCAUCCGGAACUGUCAAGCUAGAGGGCAGGAGAGGAAGGGAGAAUUCCCGGUGAAGCGGUGAAAGGCUUAGAGAUCGGGAGGAAGACCAGUGGCGAAGGCGGCCUUCUGGACUGACACUGACACUGAGGUGCGAAAGCGUGGGUAGCAAACAGGAUUAGAUACCCCAGUAGUC